AGAGGCAGUUCUCACUGUGACAGCCCUUCGCCACAAGAAGAUGGGCAGAUCAUGUUUGAUGUGGAAAUGCACACCAGCAGGGACCAUAGCUCUCAGUCAGAAGAAGAAGUUGUAGAAGGAGAGAAGGAAGUCGAGGCUUUGAAGAAAAGUGCGGACUGGGUAUCAGACUGGUCCAGUAGACCCGAAAACAUUCCACCCAAUUCCACUUCAGACACCCUAAACGUUCUGUGUCUUUAAGCAUGAGGAAAAGUGGAGCCAUGAAGAAAGGGGGUAUUUUCUCCGCAGAAUUUCUGAAGGUGUUCAUUCCAUCUCUCUUCCUUUCUCAUGUUUUGGCUUUGGGGCUAGGCAUCUAUAUUGGAAAGCGACUGAGCACACCCUCUGCCAGCACCUACUGAGGGAAAGGAAAAGCCCCUGGAAAUGCGUGUGACCUGUGAAGUGGUGUAUUGUCACAGUAGCUUAUUUGAACUUGAGACCAUUGUAAGCAUGACCCAACCUACCACCCUGUUUUUACAUAUCCAAUUCCAGUAACUCUCAAAUUCAAUAUUUUAUUCAAACUCUGUUGAGGCAUUUUACUAACCUUAUACCCUUUUUGGCCUGAAGACAUUUUAGAAUUUCCUAACAGAGUUUACUGUUGUUUAGAAAUUUGCAAGGGCUUCUUUUCCGCAAAUGCCACCAGCAGAUUAUAAUUUUGUCAGCAAUGCUAUUAUCUCUAAUUAGUGCCACCAGACUAGACCUGUAUCAUUCAUGGUAUAAAUUUUACUCUUGCAACAUAACUACCAUCUCUCUCUUAAAACGAGAUCAGGUUAGCAAAUGAUGUAAAAGAAGCUUUAUUGUCUAGUUGUUUUUUUUCCCCCAAGACAAAGGCAAGUUUCCCUAAGUUUGAGUUGAUAGUUAUUAAAAAGAAAACAAAACAAAAAAAAAAGGCAAGGCACAACAAAAAAAUAUCCUGG
rnacentral:lncRNA from 10 species